UCCAGCCGCUCACUCCGCUACCUGCCCCGCCACCGCUGUCCGCAGUCCCGACGCUGAGACCGCAGCCACCGCUGCGAGAGCAGCGGGACCGAAAAGGAGUGCUCCGGGAUAGGAGCGACCCGGACGUCAGCCUUCCAACCUUUGCAUGCCUACCUCCCCCGGCACCGGUGACCAGCACCACACGCCCGUAGAAGUUCAACAUCGAGGCCAUAAGUCCGGCCUGCAGAAGAACCAGCACAGCUCACACUGCCGGACAGGGAAAACCUGAGGCGAGGAGGAGCGGCGCCGAAGGCAUUAACCGGCCAGUUUCUGGGUAAGAGAGUGACGUAGUAUUUUUCCAAGUGCGCCUGCGCGGCCAAUCCCUUGGAACUCUGGGAAAUGUAGUCCACCGUGCCUCCAGGCGCUGCUGGACCCUGCCCAGGAGGCUUGGGUUGAAAGGGCUAGUUCUGCUGCGGAAGUAAAGGGAGCUGAUGGGACCUUUGUGGUAAAAUGGCUGACUGGGCCGACCUUGUAUUUAUCCAUUCACCCGUCCCUUUGUCAUUCACUCAACAAGCGUUUUCUGGAUCUUGGCGAGGAUGCAGCCCCUAUCCUUAAGUAGCUUUCAAAAAUAGCUCCUGAGAAGUAGAGGUACUCUGACCAAUGGGUAAAAGAUUUCUCAGAAUGGACCUCUGGGAACUGUCAAAAAUGCAAAGUACUGAGCCCCCACGCUGACAUCCCAAAUGGAAUUGAUUGACUCUACCGGUCCUGGAGUCUGAGACUGGCCAAGACCGCUUGUUUCUGCCAGGAAGGUUUUCUUUUUCCACUUGGCUUCACACAGCCAAUAAUGAAAUCGAUGUUGAAACUGGAACAGCACGAGCUUUAUUUAAUCACCAAAGAAUGGAGAAGCGGAAACUUAGGUCACAAAUCAAUUUCUAAACCCAAUUCAGAUGGAGACACCACACAUGUAGGACGAUGGAGAUAAAAGGGAGGUAAUUAGGAAAAGUGGGAGGAAUACUCAGUCAUGACUUAACCAAGAACAUCGAUGUACUUCGGAUCCAGAACUGAAAGAACACUCCUCCGUAGUCUUCGUAGUCUUCGUAUGGGCCUUUCCCAUUGUUGCUGUGGUAAUUGUCAAGGGACAAAGCACUGCCUUGGAUGGAUGCCCCAGAAAGUAUCUGCAGGAAUGAAAUCUUUUUACCAGUGCAUCUUUUGGAGUAGGAAAGUUUAUUCCAUGUGACCUUACUGGACCUUUGAAGCACCAUCUUGGUGAUGACAGAGACUACAGCACAGCUAGAGAAAGCCUUAGGUUUCUGCAAGAGGAGAACAUGAAAGCACAACUCUCCUCUUUACGGAAGAUUUUUCCCCCAGUUGAGUUUAGGUUCACAGACCCUAGUAGACAGGCACAGGGCAACUGGUAACCUGACAAGCUCAACCAAGGAGAUUUUCUCUUCCCUCCAUUCUGCAGAUAAUCCUAAAUCAGUUGGCUGGCAUCUGCAAUAAAGGUCUGGACUGUGCUAGCAUCUAGGAAUAUCCUUUUUGCUUGUGAUAACUGCUGCUAAUGUUUUUCUAAAGAUCAUGGGUGUGAUGCUGUUGCUCCACUGACCUUAUUUAUGUGUGCUGUACUCUUUGGAAACGUAAGACACAUGGUAAGAUAAUUACAGUUGGGUUAAUUAAUCCUACUUCAGAGGAUAGGGGGUUACAUGGUAUAACAGAGCAAGAUAUGGUUAUAGCCCCUAAUGGUGGCCUUGCAUGUAAGUUAAAAGCUUUUAAUAAAAGCAGGAUCAGAGUUCCCAUUGUGGUUCAGCAGUAAUGAAGAACGCAACUAGUAUCCAUGAGGACACAUGUUUGAUCCCUGGCCUCACUCAGUGGGUUAAGGAUCUGGCGUUUCCCUGAGCUGUGGUGUAGGUUGCAGAUGGGGCUCUAAUUCUGGGCUGCUGUGGCUGAGGUGUAGGCUGGCAGCUACAGCUCUGACUGGACCCCUAACCUGGGAACUUCCAUGUGCUGUGGGUGCAGCCCUAAAAAAAAAACAAAACACAAAAAUAAAUAAAAGCACAAACAUGUUUUCCAUUUUAAACUCAUCCUUUGUGCACUCAGAACCCUAUGCAGGAGGUAAGAGUUGAAUAUCCAUGCAUUCAGCCUUUCUCUAUUAAGGGUUCUCUGAGUCAAGCACUGUUCUUGGCACUCAGGACAGAACAGACAAGGUCUCUGCACUUACAGAUACUACAUUCCAGAGAAGAGAGGGGAUAAACAACAAAUAGAUAAAUGACUUCUUAUCAUUACAAGUGUUAAGGAAAAACUGUAUCAGUUUAUCAAAGAAUGCUCAUCAUGUUCUAGGCACUUUGUUAGUGUUUUAUAUAACUCAUAACAGCCUAAAAAUUAGGUGCUAUAAUUAUUUUUGUUUUUAGAUGAGAAACAGCACAAAAAAGUGAAUGAUUUAGCUGGUAUGCAGGCAAGAGAGGAUUCAGAUCCCAGGGGUAUAACUCUGUUGCCUGAAACAAGAUAAUAAGAUUCAAAAGCGAUCACAAGUAGAGACAAAGGAAGGAGGUACUAAUUUAAAGACCGAAACCAGGAAAGGCUUUUGAGCCUGCGGAUAUUGAGCUGAGACUUAACUAUUGAGAAGAAAGGUCAAGCACAGAUUGAAUGGAGCAUUUCAAGCAGCAUGGACAGCACAUGCAAAGGCCCUGUGGGGAAAACACCAUUGCACCUCCCGGCACAAAAGGAGGUUCACAGAGGGGAGACAGGCACCGGACUGUGGGGAGUCUUGUAGGCCACAGGGAGGAAGUGUGGAUUUUAUUUUAGUUAUGAUGGGGAGCACUUGAGAAGCAGGAAAGGAAAAUGAUCCCAUGCACAAAACAGUAUAUUCCCCUCUGUACACUUAUAAGAAUGUGAAUGUGUGGGAAAAAAAAAAAAAAAAAAAA
rnacentral:lncRNA from 1 species